GACGGAGGAUGCAAGUGUUAUCCGGAAUCACUGGGCGUAAAGCGUCUGUAGGUGGUUUAAUAAGUCAACUGUUAAAUCUUGAGGCUCAACCUCAAAAUCGCAGUCGAAACUAUUAGGCUAGAGUAUAGUAGGGGUAAAGGGAAUUUCCAGUGGAGCGGUGAAAUGCGUAGAGAUCCGGAGGAACACCAGUGGCGAAGGCGCAUCCUGGACCGGCAUUGACGCUGAGGCGCGAAAGCCAGGGGAGCAAAGCGGG
rnacentral:rRNA from 1 species